AGGAGCCGUGUGAGGUGAAAGUCUCAAGCACGGUUUUGUAUGGGAGGGGGUGAAGGCGACUUCACUCUCGACCCCUAC
rfam:Arthrospira platensis NIES-39 DNA, nearly complete genome.